GAGGUCAGCCAGAACUGCAGAGUGAGACCGUGUUGUUUGUUUGUUUGUUUGUUUGUUUGAGACGGGGUUUCUCUGUGUAGCCCUGGCUAUCCUA
rnacentral:pre_miRNA from 1 species